UACGUAGGGGGCUAGCGUUGUCCGGAAUCAUUGGGCGUAAAGAGCGUGUAGGCGGUCCGGUAAGUCCGCUGUGAAAGUCGGGGGCUCAACCCUCGAAUGCCGGUGGAUACUGUCGGGCUUGAGUACGGAAGAGGCGAGUGGAAUUCCUGGUGUAGCGGUGAAAUGCGCAGAUAUCAGGAGGAACACCAAUGGCGAAGGCAGCACUCUGGGACGUGACUGACGCUGAGACGCGAAAGCGUGGGGAGCAAACAGG
rnacentral:rRNA from 1 species